rnacentral:lncRNA from 1 species
UUCUUUGACUGUAGAUGCCUCUUCCAGUCGCUGGAGUUUCGGUGAGCACCAGGACACCUCCAGAAUUACAGCAAGCCCUCCAACCACAUGAACCAAGACUUGGGUUGUGUGCUUGUUUAGUAUCUCUAACAUUAAUUACUAGUUAUUUGGGGAAAUGGGUUUUUUUAAUCUUCUAGUAGCAGAACGGGAGGUAAAGUGUCCCUGUGCUGUUCUGUCCCCAGUGUGGUCAGCAUCACCAGAGUAGUGGCUUUCGAUUGUGGCUGAACAUUGUACUGCUGGGGCACCUUAGCAGCGACUCGGAUGCCACCCUUGGGUUGUAGAAAGGAAGCCUUCCCAGAGAGGAGAGAGGCCAUGUGCGGGUUGCCAUGGUGCCCCUGCCUCCAGCCUAUGCAGACAGUUCAUGGUAAUGUACUGGGAUCCCCAGAGAAGCAAGUUUACCUGUUUGGAGCCUUUUCACUAAGCUCUUUUAGUAGCUUGUGUUCUUAAUCAUAGCCUUGUGCCACACACAUUGAGAGAUCACUCAAGUCACAGUGCUAUCAUCUACUGGUCUCCUACUCUGAUUUGCUUGGCUGACUUGCCAAGUUAUAGUUAGGUUCUCAUUAAAAUAACGUACAGUUCUUAGGAACACGUGGUGUGUGGAGUCCAAAUUCACUCUGGGGUAAGCAACCCCUCACCUGCCAAAAUGGAAGAAAGCCCUGUUGUAGAGUACUUCAUUGAGUUCUGGGUUGUGAUACUGGGAUCCAGGGCAUGUCCCUGGCUGUGUGAAUGGCUUAGCUGUCCAGAAACACAUCUAGCCUCUGUAACCUGUGCUGGUCAUUCACCCCUAGCAGAUAAGAGGCUCUGUUGCUGGCCUGUCUGUCCCCUGUAAGGCAGACUAGUGCCCUCUCCAGAAUAAGGCCCUCUGACCUGAGAAUGCCUUUUCCCAGGAAUCGGGAACAAGAGGUAAAAGAACAUUUUUGUUGGUACCUGCUUCCAAGUCUCAGAACACAUCCUGUGUGUUUAGCUGAGAAAAUGUCCCUUCAGGUAUCAUUCAUGGGUAUGUAAUCUUCAGGCUCCUAAGGUAUGUAUUUCAUCUAGGCCAAAAUCCCUUGGAAAUGACUGAGGUAUUGAGAAACUGUAAAAGAUCUCCAGUCUCUCGAGUUGUAGAGAUGAGUCAGUCCAGUAGGGCCUUAGGUGUCUUGGUCAGUGUACAGUGUAGUGUAUAGCAGUACUGCAUCCACUCUUGAGGUUGCUAUCUGCUGUGGGACAGUGGACUUUUCAGCCAUUUGGUUGCCAGUGAAGGGCUCCUCUGUUACCCUUUGUGUGCAUAUGUCAUUGGUUUGGAAGAUGUGGGCAGCUUUGCUUGAAAGAGGAGGCGUGUGGAACCCUCCACCACCUACCUCCAAUCGUGUGUGUAUGUGACAGAGGUGGAGCUUCCCUAUUGUGUUUCCUCAGAUCAGCACACCCAGCCACAGACAGAAGGGCAAACUUGCAAAGGGACAGGAUAUGUGUAGCAAGGGGAAGCCUGCCAGCCUGGAAUCAAGAGUUCUCAUUUUGUCCCUGGAGUGAGUAAUGGACCCCUGGAGAGAGAAUAAGGUCAUUCUAGUGAACCCAACAUUUUCUAGGGUACCAGGUGAAUUGUUAUUUAUGUGUUAUCUGCUCUUGAGGGUUUGAACUCAGUAUUUUAUGCUGCAAUAUUCAGUAUUUUUGUAAGUUUCAUAGUUGGGUCAUUUACACUGAGCACUUGAAUCGUUAAACUUGGUGUUAGGGAUACAGAUUCAAUGAUUUCCCUUCAGUAGACCCUGACAUGUAUUUACAGGCAUCUUUGAAACCAGUACGAAUGCUAGGGGACUGUUGAAAGUGAAUUACAGGGAGGUUUUUCCUUAGUGUGUCAAUGAUGACUAACAAGACUUGGAAGUUCUCCUACAGGGAAGGAUGUCAUGAAGCUUAUCUGGUUGGUAUGUUUGCCCAGUAGCCAAGAGAGUGCACCAUGUACUGUGAGUUCCAUUCAGAAUGACACAUGGCGUUCAUCUCAUUGUCCUAUUUGUAACAAACAGUUCGGUUGCCCGAGGGGCUUAUGGAAGCAUUCUGCUUUCAUUUCUCAGCACAUUCAGUCACAUCCUCAUGGUCUGAUUCAUGGGCAACACAAGCAAGAACUUUGUGAUUGGCAGAUGUGCCAUCUUCUGUCUUUCCCUCCCUCAGUGGAAGUUUCUAUUUAUUGCUCUCAUAGGCUGCUUGCACUUGACAAAGCCAACUAGUUAGGAAGCUAAGAUUGCAAUCGAAAUGGGAUGCUUCGGAUUAAGCAAAUAAACCAGUGGGUUUACUACUGCACAGCCGUCAAACAAAUGUGCAUUAUCAGUAAGGUGUGCCAGCUUGGGUACACCGAUCUGAUGGUCUGUUCAGUCCCUCGGGACGGAUGGAAGAGCCAAGGCUUUCCUGUUAACUGUUCUGGCUCUUUGUCCUUAGUGAAGACCAUGCCCGUUUCACCAGUUUCUUGACUGUCAUUGGAGUUGGAAAACAUUUAAAAAAAUGGGACUUUUAAAAAUAGCUGAUGACCAGCAAGAUCACCUGUUUACAGCCAACUGUGCAUGUGACGUCGUGUUUUUCAUUUAAAACCAGUCCAGUACAUUGCUAAGCAGGUGUGGCUUUCCUUCAGCAAGCCUUUUCUCUUGCUUCCUAGGGUGUGUGUGUGUGUGUGUGUGUGUGUGUGUGUUAAGUGUUGCUAUUCAUCUUCUGGACUGACCAUUCCCAUCUUAUUUAUAUCUUUUGGGGAAAAGUUUAUUUGCUUGGAAAAUGAAAUUGACCUUCUAGCCUGGCUUCACUCUGUGGUAAUGUUUGUUCUGAAUUUUGAGGAGUAAACAAUGAACCAGUUCACAAGCGCUCCAUCCCCUUCAUGUACUUGUCUGCUCUCUGCCCCCAUGGGAAGGGCACCCUGUUGUAGGUGGUGAGUGGGGGGCUUCCUCACUUCCAGAAGUUGUUACACAUGGUUCUCCCCCAGUUGCAUACACCUUCUGCUUCACAGACCUGGUUGCGUCUCUUGCUGUACACUGAUCAUAAUUGGGAUCAUUUGCUGAUUUGCUGAAUGCAAGAACAUUUUGUCAAGUGAUCUUUCCUUGGAAACAACUGGCAUGCAAGCUUUUAAAUCCCUGUGUUUGCAUUAA